UGAGAAUAAGAAUAGUCCAAAGUUUGGUUUUUGGCCCCUGCUAAGUGAACACACGUUUUAAAAUCGUGCACAUGAUUAGAAAAGGCUAAAUGUUAUUUUGAAAAAUUUCAUCAAGCUUUUUGAUUAUUUUAUAUUUCUUAUUUGUAUUAUAUGAUUAAUUAUAUUAAUAUAUUAUAAAUAAACAUUUUUAUUCUAUAAGUAGAUCCUAAGUCACUGAAAUCUUUUGAAAAUGUAAACGUUGUUGUGCUUUCCAUCCAAACAAACCGCAGCUGCUCUGUGUGUUUAUUGUGCAGUCUCGCCCUCCACAGUACUGUGGCGCUGUUGGCCCAAUGUCGCAGCGUCAAUGCAUGUGCCAUGUGGCGCUUUCGUUAGUAUGUGUGUUUAACUUUUUCCAGCUCUGCGCAGACCGAUCACCUUAUGACAAAACGCAUGCGGACUUAGAAUAACAUCUCUAAAGCAUACAGAGCAGUCAGUUCACAAAUAUCUCUCACUGUGCUUUGAUGUCGCCGAUCCGUCUGCGAUCAAACAUCAGUGGCACGAGUGUUCACCGGUGUUGUUCCGCUCGCGCGACAGGCGGGAAUUCAAAAUAACGGAUCGCAACAACCUCUCGACUGUCCCAUUGGAUAAUUUUCAGUAUUUUCCAGUUGAGCAGCAAAAAAAUGGCAACCAAGGCCAACAGACCAGCCCACCCUGAUGCUCAUCCUUGCACUGCCUGGGACACCUAAGGCCAACAGGCGCAGCUCCUGUUCUCUUUUUGCCAUAAAUACUUUAGCAAUGCAAAAUUGUGAAAUGUACUAUAGAAAUAAUUUUUACUUUGACUACAUGGAUCCUCACACCACCUGGUAAUAGCAGGAAACCCAUUUGGAGAGAACAGCAUUG